rnacentral:rRNA from 1 species
GACGUAGGGCGCGAGCGUUGUCCGGAUUUAUUGGGCGUAAAGAGCUCGUAGGCGGCUUGUCGCGUCGUCCGUGAAAACCUGCAGCUCAACUGCAGGCUUGCGGUCGAUACGGGCAGGCUGGAGUUCGGUAGGGGAGACUGGAAUUCCUGGUGUGAGCGGUGAAAUGCGCAGAUAUCAGGAGGAACACCGGUGGCGAGGCGGCAUCCUGGACCGGCAUUGACGCUGAGGCGCGAAAGCUAGGGUAGCAAACGGG